GUUCAGAGUGAAAGAGGAGGAGGAGGAGAUGACUGUCACAUCGAAAAAGGAGGAGGAAGAAGAGGAGGAAACUGGAUAUCUGGGCCCGGUUUCCCAAAGCCAUCUUAAUGCAUCCAGUGGUUCUAACAAUGAAGUUAGCCGUGAAAUGGUUUUGAGAAACCGGGCCGUGAUUAACACUAGAGAGAGACAUGACAAUCGUGGAUCCUCUGGGGAGCCUCAACAACAUCAUGAAGCUGACGAGGCAGAGAAGAGUCUCUCCACAUCAGAACACCUCAAGAAACACCAGCGGAAACCCACAGGGAAGAAAUCUCACCGCUGCUCUGUCUGUGGGAAGAGUUACUCAAGAUCAGAUUCACUGAAGGCACACCAGAGAAUUCACACAGGGAAGAAGUCUCACCACUGCUCUGACUGUGGGAAGACUUACUCAAGAUCAGAUUCACUAAAAGUACACCAGAAAAAACAUAUUGGAGAGAAACCUCACUGCUGCUCUAAUUGUGGGAAGAGUUGCACCUCUUUAGCAACCCUAAAAAUACACCAGAGAAUCCAUAGAAGAGAAAAACCAUAUAGUUGCUCUGAUUGUGGGAAGUGUUUUGUUUUGUCAGGACAUUUAAAAUCACACCAGAGAACACACACAGGACAGAAACCUUAUAGCUGUCAUCUAUGUGGGAGGAGUUUUAGGCACUUAAGCAGCCUGAUAGUACACAAGAGAAUACACACAGGAGAGAAACCUUACCAAUGCUCUGACUGUGGGAAGAGUUUUGUUUCCUCAGGACUUUUAAAAUCACACCAGAGAACACACACAGGAGAGAAACCUCAUAGCUGUGAUCAAUGUGACAAGAGAUACUCUGAUAAAAGAUCUCUGGUUAAACAUCAGACAAUUCAUACAUGAAGGAGUUGUUCAAUGUGAGAAGAGUUUUACUGAAUCUAGAGAGCUGACUUUGCACCAGAGAAAACACGGGAAAUAAACUUUAACACUAGCUCUGACUGUGGGAAGAGUUUUGUUUAAUCAGGACUUUUUAAAACUACACCAGAGAACACACACAGGAGAGAAACACCAUAGCUGUGCUCAAUGUGACAAGAGAUACGUUAUAUCAAUUUUUAAAAAAUGUCACAAUGCAAUAGGAGUAGGAUAAUGAUGUCAUAGUGAAGAACCCCCUAAAUGUUUGUCCUGUUCUAUUGAUUUCAGCUGUGGAUUGAAAUGAAAGAGUUUACCAAAAAGUGUUGCGUUAUGAAAAGAAAACUACGUUGUAGUUGAAAAUAUUUCUUUUUUUUUCAAUGACUCGAAAACAUCGUAAUUUCAACGUACUUGCAGCCUAUACACAUGGACGAAGUAUAAUAAAUUAGUUUAUAAUCAAUUUUUAUUAACAAUCUGACAUCACUCCAGUAUUUCUUGACAACAUUCAAGUGCUAAUUGUUUUUAUUCCACUACUGAAGAAGCAUGACUCAAAUCACCUCAUAUUUCAAACAUUCAGCCUGACAAAAUAUACAUGUUUUAUUAUUCCAUACCUCACCAUUAAGUGAAGUAUUGCCAAUACAUAUUAACAAAGGGGUGAACAUUUGGUUUUUAUAUUUCAUAAUAGUAGCAUUUUUGUAACACUUAGUUGCGUAAAUAAUUAUGAUUAAUAACUGAGUUUUUAUUGGUACAAUUAUAUUGUUUACUAACAUUGUAGUAAAACUAGCUUAUAUUUCUGGUUGGAUGUUACAUCCUAUUCUUACUAUUUUAAUCAAUGCCUUU